UCUUCGAUUGUAUCUACAACAACCCAAUGCUUCCUUUCACUCUUAGGUAAGCAUCUCUCCUUUUUGCUUGGUGUCUUCCUUUGAUCACCAUCACGUCACGUAGACGCCUUGUGCGUGAACAUCGUCACGUCUUCUUCGGUGUCUUCUUUUGAUCACCAUAACGUCUCCAUGACGUCUUGUGCGUGAAUCUUCUUCACGUCGUCUUCGGUUUACUCUUCAACCGACUUAUGCUCCAUUUUUCUCCGAGCCUUGCACUGUUCUCCCAACAGAAGCUUACUCCGUGUUGCAGUGUUCUUUACAAUUCAACAACACCUUUUGAUACUAAGCCUUGCUCUGUUUCUUACACAGGCGGCUUCCUCCGUCUUGUUUCAGUUGACUCCUACUUCGGAUUCUCAACUUCAUCAAGUGAUGUCUUCUUUGCAUCCUUGAACUUCACCAAGACCUUGUUGAACAAAGUUUCAGAAUUCUCCUUCCACAACUCCAAAUCCACAUCCGUUUUCUCCGUUGCCUUUAGAAAAGAUUUCCUAUCUUCUUCAUCGCUUUUGGAGCCUUCUUCUUGAAGGAAAUGCUUGUGAAUACGUUUGUGAAGGUUGAUGGUACCCUCUCUUGUCACCAUCAAUUUUUUUCUUCCUUCCCUGUUUCUUCUUCUUCUCCUUUUUUUUUCUUUUCGGUUUCUCACCGUUAAUUUGUUGUCUCCAUCUUUCUCUUCUUCUCGCAGCGGAAUUUUUUCUUAUCUUUGUUUUACUUGGACAGGCUCCAAGACCAAAUAAGCUCUGAUACCAUGUAGAACUUUGAACUCUCAAAGUGUUUAAGGAUCGGACAACACAGAUUUUACUCUGUUUUGUCUUACCUCUCUGUUUUGUAUAACGUAAAACCACACACUUUUAUUAGAUAUAUAAACUGUAUUUAUAGUUUUACAUGACA